rnacentral:rRNA from 1 species
GACGAACGCUGGCGGCGUGCUUAACACAUGCAAGUCGAGCGGUAAGGCCCUUUCGGGGGUACACGAGCGGCGAACGGGUGAGUAACACGUGGGUGACCUGCCCUCAGCUCUGGGAUAAGCCCGGGAAACUGGGUCUAAUACCGGAUAUGACUCCAUGACGCAUGUUGUGGGGUGGAAAGCCUUGUGCGGCUGAGGAUGGGCCCGCGGCCUAUCAGCUUGUUGGUGGGGUGAUGGCCUACCAAGGCGACGACGGGUA